CUCUGUGACUCCUACGGGAGGCAGCAGUGGGGAAUAUUGCACAAUGGGGGAAGCCCUGAUGCAGCCAUGCCGCGUGUGUGAAGAAGGCCUUCGGGUUGUAAAGCACUUUCAGUAGGGAGGAAGGUAGUGUAGUUAACACCUGCACUAUUUGACGUUACCUACAGAAGAAGCACCGGCUAACUCCGUGCCAGCAGCCGCGGUAAUACGGAGGGUGCGAGCGUUAAUCGGAAUUACUGGGACGUAAAGCGCAUGCAGGCGGCCUGUUAAGUCAGAUGUGAAAGCCCCGGGGCUUAACCUCGGAAUUGCAUUUGAAACUGGCAGGCUAGAGUCUUGUAGAGGGGGUAGAAUUUCAGGUGUAGCGGUGAAAUGCGUAGAGAUCUGAAGGAAUACCAGUGGCGAAGGCGGCCCCCUGGACAAAGACUGACGCUCAGAUGCGAAAGCGUGGGGAGCAAACAGGAUUAGAUACCCUGGUAG
rnacentral:rRNA from 1 species